GUGCAGUGUUUAGGCAAUAUUGUGUCUAAAUUAGGUAGGCUAGCAAAAUCUGUCACAUCACCUUCACCUCCUUCCUUCUCUGCUGAGCUUUUAAUGAGAUUACAAUAGAAUCAUAGAACAGUUUGUGUUGAAAGGGACCUUAAAAAUCACCUAGUUCCAACCCCACUGCCGUGGGUAGGGACACUUCCCACCAGCCCAGGAUGCUCAAAGCCCCAUCCAGCCUGGCCUGAACACCCCCAGGGAUAGGGCAUCCACAGCUUCUCUGGGCAGCCUGUGCCAGUGCCUCACCACCUUCAUAGUGAUGAUUUUUUUCCUUAUAUCUAAUCUAAACCUGUUGUUUUUUAGUUUAAAACCAUUACCUCUUGUCCUAUCAUUACAGUCCCUGAUAAAGAAUCUCUCCCUAUCUUUCCCCUUUAGGUACUGGGAGGCUUCUAUCAGAUCUCCCCAGAGCCUUCUCUUCUCCAGGCUGAACAACACAAACUCCCUCAGCCUGUCUUCACAGGGGAUGUGCUCCAGCCCUCUGAUCAGCUUUGUGGCCCUCCUCUAACUGGCUCUAUAGUAAUUAAACUACAGUCUCUAUUUGCACCACUAUUAUUAAUUUGUUGCAUGAAGAUGUCACCUCUCUUCCAAGCACAGCAUCCCUGAGGCCCCAAAGCAAGCACAUAUGGUGACACACAGCUCUGUUCCAGCAAGGCUUUCUAAGCCUUUCAGUCCUCCUGAGCAAGCAAGGCACCUCUUCUCUACAUACCCUGCCACAGCAGCUUGGAGCCCACGGAGUAAAUAGAUCUUAUUAGAGGAGGAGACAGUUCUUGGGAAUGAUAAAACAAAGAGCAAAGCAAGAAUUGCCGGGCCGUCUGGGUGCCUCAAUGGCUGAGGAAAAGCUGAUGCCCAGAUAUAACUGCAACGUCAGUGAAGUUACCAUUGUGAACCUGCAGCCCAAGAAGAAUCCCAUCCUCAUCCUGCCAAAAGAGAAGCCAGGAAGUGAACAUAGAAACUCUGGUUUCCAUCCUCCUUCUCCCAGGAUGUCAGAAAAGAGGAUAGCCCAGGGAGAGAAAAAUCUGUGGCCUGAAAAGGUAAGAAAAGAGGGGCCUUUGUCUCCAGGCUUGCAUCGUGCGAAUGAGUCGAGUAGCACAGAGAACAUUGCCCUGAAAAGGCCAGUGAAGUUGGCUCCCCUGGAGAUCCCUGUGGAAGUGAAAGAAGCCCAGCUCCAAAAGAUUAUGAGCAUCCAGAGAGAAGCCCAAAUGGCUGCUCAGAAGCUGACAGCUAUCAACUCCAUCAGCAAUGAACCCCAUGUGAAAAGAGUGAAGAAUCUCUCCCAGGGGGAGCUGGAAAACCUUCAUAAGAUAAGGCUGAAUGAGAAAGCUGCAAUGGAGAAUAAAGAUAAUCCCCUUUCUCCUAAAAGCAGCAGGCCCCUGGGAGAAAUUCAAGUUAUUUUGCCUCCAGAGACAAGCUCAAAGUUGACUAAGCAACCAGGUGUUGGAGAGGCUCCUAAGACACUUCAUAAGCUGUUAAUCCCCACUCUCCAAGUGGACAUGCAUGAAGAGUCUAACAGCCCUGACAGCAUCCCUGAUCCUCACCAGAACACUUCUAGACGCCGAUUCAGGGUAAAGCACGUGAAAGAGCAGCAAGAAGACCACGGGAAAGCCACACCCUUAAAGGUCAUGGAUCCAAGUGUGGGAGAAGGCAAGAAGAAAUCUGCAGGUCAACGAACACAAAAAACCCUGAGCGAUGCAAGCAAGCUCAUUGAGAAUGUAGCCAAAAAGCAGAAGGAGAGAGGAGCACAGCAAGGGGAAACAGAUGAAGCUUCUUUUGUAAGGAAACAGUCUACUCGAAGGAUGGCCUUGGGAGACAUCAUCCAGGUAGAUGAAGACUGAAUAUCAUGAUAUUGGUCAUGCACGGGAGAUUUAGACACAACAGCUACCCAGUAAAGUGCUUUAGACUGACUGCUUAGAAGUCUUCAGAAGAGUAUCUAGAAGCAUUAGUAGACCACAAAGUGAAAAGAUUAGCGUUGUUGAACAUCUUCAUACUUUCUGAGAUGCACAGAAGUGUCAAAUAUCCUCCUACUCUGUUCAGUACUAGAAAUGCCCUGGCUGAAGUCCUGAGCCUCAUGUGGAGUACAACAUUUCAAGACAGAUGUGGACUAUGCAGGGAAAAUCUAGUUGUGUCAUGGGUGGAAGGACCCAGAGAAAAGCAGGAUCCUGGAAAAUCUUGUAUUUGGUGCAAGACUGAAAGAAAUAACUUUAUUUGCUUUUGAGAAUAGAGCCCUGCCCUUUUCAUCUGUGGCUGAAAAGAAAGGAAAGACUUUGAAGAAAGUCUUCAAAGACGUUGAAGAAAGACUGAAAAUGUUCUUCAUAUCCACUUUGAGCAGGACAAAAAGUAAUUUGCUUAAAAUUUAGCAAGAAACGUUUAAGGUAGAAAAGGAGAAAUAAUUUUAAAGACAAUAAACACCAAACAAUGCUGUUUACA
rnacentral:lncRNA from 1 species